CGCGAUGAUGAGGUCAUUAAAUCUCGUUAAUCUGAUGAUUUAUAUGAGGAUAGCAUAUCUAUCCAUUCACUCUUACACUGAGC
rnacentral:snoRNA from 1 species